rnacentral:rRNA from 1 species
AGUGAACGCUGGCGGUAGGCCUAACACAUGCAAGUCGAACGGCAGCACAGUAAGAGCUUGCUCUUACGGGUGGCGAGUGGCGGACGGGUGAGGAAUACAUCGGAAUCUACUUUUUCGUGGGGGAUAACGUAGGGAAACUUACGCUAAUACCGCAUACGACCUACGGGUGAAAGCAGGGGAUCUUUGGACCUUGCGCGAUUGAAUGAGCCGAUGUCGGAUUAGCUAGUUGGCGGGGUAAAGGCCCACCAAGGCGACGAUCCGUAGCUGGUCUGAGAGGAUGAUCAGCCACACUGGAACUGAGACACGGUCCAGACUCCUACGGGAGGCAGCAGUGGGGAAUAUUGGACAAUGGGCGCAAGCCUGAUCCAGCCAUACCGCGUGGGUGAAGAAGGCCUUCGGGUUGUAAAGCCCUUUUGUUGGGAAAGAAAAGCAGCAGGUUAAUACCCCGCUGUUCUGACGGUACCCAAGGAAUAAGCACCGGCUAACUUCGUG